UGCCAGCAGCUGCGGUAAUACAGAGGGUGCAAACGUUGUUCGGAAUCACUGGGCAUAAAGCGCACGUAGGCUGUCUCGUAAGUGUGGAGUGAAAUCCCACGGCUCACCCGUGGACGUGCUCUGCAUACUGCGAGACUCGAGGACGGUAGGGGAGAGCGGAACUCCUGGUGGAGCGGUGAAAUGCGUAGAUAUCAGGAGGAACACCGGUGGCGAAGGCGGCUCUCUGGUCCGUAACUGACGCUGAGGUGCGAAAGCUAGGGUAGCGAACGGGAUUAGAUA
rnacentral:rRNA from 1 species